UCCUUGGUCGUCUUCUGGGAUUCGUGACUUUGGGCACAACAUUUGGGGGCUCGUCCAGGAUCCCAGAGACCCCCAGGACUCCCGACCCGGAGGGCCCUGUGCCAGCUGGUUAAAGAUAUCAGGGGGAGAGCUAACAACCUCAGUGUGGAAGUCCAGAAGGGUCGGUGGCAGACUUUUUGCUCUUGUGAGUAGCCAGUUUUCAAUGUCAGAUGGCUGCCCGAGGGAACCUUAUCAUUAUGUCUCAAUCUGUAUGUUUGUGUGUCUAAGUGUGCAAAGGAAAAUAUCUUCUACCUCCGGAUGGUAUUAAUGAAAUUGAUUUAAAGACAAGCGCUUGUGAAAAUUAGGCAUUCUAAAACUUCCAGAAAAUCUGAUAAAAAAUGUUAAGCAUUAAUGCUAAUUUGAGUUUGGCUGAGGCCUGCAUGUCCUUGUAGUUAUCAGCUGCCUAAGUUUACCUAAGGUCAUUUAAGUAGAUGUUAUCUGCUAAAUCUUUUAAGAAUAAAAUGCUUAAAGGCUUG